UGGUUUAUACUCAUAAAAUUUCUUCACAAAAAAAAUAUGAAAAAUCUGAUUUUCCAUGUUCGGGUUUCGCAAUGAUAAACACUAAGAUAAUCAGAAAGUUUGCCUUCUCUUCCUCUCAUGAGCAUGUUGAGGUGUACAAAUUAUAACCAUAGCUUUUUCUUUAAACAAAUUUCAACAAAUUUAUUUAUCUCCACUGGAGACUUCUUACAUAAAAUAAAAACCAUGAAGACCCCA
rnacentral:lncRNA from 1 species